rnacentral:SRP_RNA from 1 species
UGGGGGCCUAGUUGGUAAGGGUGGUGGGGUGGGUACCCUACUGCUGUCUGGGUGGGGACUUGCCGCGCACCCUGUGGAAUCAGGUGUCCUAGGCGAGGGGACAGCCUUUGUUGGAGCGCUGUGCUCCCCGUUGGAAUGAGUGGGGGCGUACCGC